UACGAGGGGGGCAAGCGUUGUUCGGAAUUAUUGGGCGUAAAGCGUGCGCAGGCGGUUUGCUAAGAGAGAUGUGAAAUCCCCGGGCUUAACCUGGGAACUGCGUUUCUAACUGGCAGGCUUGAGUCCGGAAGGGGCGAGUGGAAUUCCUGGUGUAGCGGUGAAAUGCGCAGAUAUCAGGAGGAACACCAAUGGCGAAGGCAGCUCGCUGGAACGGUACUGACGCUGAGGCGCGAAAGCUAGGGGAGCGAACGGG
rnacentral:rRNA from 1 species